rnacentral:rRNA from 1 species
AACGAACGCUGGCGGCAUGCCUAACACAUGCAAGUCGAACGAAGCCUUCGGGCUUAGUGGCGCACGGGUGCGUAACGCGUGGGAAUCUGCCCUUGGGUUCGGAAUAACAGUUAGAAAUGACUGCUAAUACCGGAUGAUGUCUUCGGACCAAAGAUUUAUCGCCCAAGGAUGAGCCCGCGUAGGAUUGGGUAGUUGGUGGGGUAAUGGCCCACCAAGCCGACGAUCCUUAGCUGGUCUGAGAGGAUGAUCAGCCACACUGGGACUGAGACACGGCCCAGACUCCUACGGGGGGCAGCAGUGGGGAAUAUUGGACAAUGGGCGAAAGCCUGAUCCAGCAAUGCCGCGUGAGUGAUGAAGGCCUUAGGGUUGUAAAGCUCUUUUACCAGGGAUGAUAAUGACAGUACCUGGAGAAUAAGCUCCGGCUAACUCCGUGCCAGCCGCCGCGGUAA